rnacentral:lncRNA from 1 species
GUUAAUACAGUAAGGGGAGGUCUUACUUUUCUCCUCCCGACGCCUGCCCCGACUUUGGGCUCCUGAAUCUCAGGUACUUUCGUGCAUGGUUUGAUCACAUCCUUUGCUCCACAGGAGUUUGCCCUUGAACCUGGUGCCCAAUGGGUUUGAGGUGACUCUUCUUGGUGACCCCUGUGAAAGGGAUCAAGACACACAGGUUGAGAACUGCUGGUCUAGAUCCUUGACUGCCUUCGUGUUGGCUUGAACACCUGAUAUGCUUGGGGCCAUUCUUGAGAGCUGAGCUUUUCUGGUUCCUACAGUGGCUGCGGCCCUGGAUUGGAGACAGUGAGCUGAGCGCCAACAUCCAUCUCUCUCUGCUCCCCGGCUGUGGACGAGGAUGACAUUGCCUCCUUCCUCUGCCACUUGACCUGCCUGGGCAUGACAGGUUGAACAUCCAGAAUCCAAAAAUACAAAAUAAAGCCUUCUUUCAAGC